CAGCAACAGGCAGGCUUUUGCAGAAAUUGUUCACUGCUUGCGUGGGCCUUUCGGGCAUUUUCGAACUACAACUAUCCAGGGGCAGACAAAUUGCCCCUUCACCCACUGAAGUUGGUUGUCCCUGCUUUACAGGUAUGAGCCUUGGGUAUGUUGAAACUCAAACAUUUUAAUUAAACACACUUUUUGUUAAAUUCAAC
rnacentral:lncRNA from 11 species